rnacentral:rRNA from 1 species
CCCUACGGGAGGCAGCAGUGGGGAAUAUUGGACAAUGGGCGAAAGCCUGAUCCAGCCAUGCCGCGUGUGUGAAGAAGGUCUUCGGAUUGUAAAGCACUUUAAGUUGGGAGGAAGGGCAGUAAGUUAAUACCUUGCUGUUUUGACGUUACCGACAGAAUAAGCACCGGCUAACUCUGUGCCAGCAGCCGCGGUAAUACAGAGGGUGCAAGCGUUAAUCGGAAUUACUGGGCGUAAAGCGCGCGUAGGUGGUUCGUUAAGUUGGAUGUGAAAGCCCCGGGCUCAACCUGGGAACUGCAUCCAAAACUGGCGAGCUAGAGUAUGGUAGAGGGUGGUGGAAUUUCCUGUGUAGCGGUGAAAUGCGUAGAUAUAGGAAGGAACACCAGUGGCGAAGGCGACCACC